GACGAACGCUGGCGGCGUGCUUAACGCAUGCAAGUCGAGCGGUAAGGCCCUUUCGGGGGUACACGAGCGGCGAACGGGUGAGUAACACGUGGGUGACCUGCCCUCAGCUCUGGGAUAAGCCUGGGAAACCGGGUCUAAUACUGGAUAUGACUCCAUGACGCAUGUUGUGGGGUGGAAAGCCUUGUGCGGCUGAGGAUGGGCCCGCGGCCUAUCAGCUUGUUGGUGGGGUGANGGCCUACCAAGGCGACGACGGGUAGCCGGCCUGAGAGGGCGACCGGCCACACUGGGACUGAGACACGGCCCAGACUCCUACGGGAGGCAGCAGUGGGGAAUCUUGCGCAAUGGGCGAAAGCCUGACGCAGCGACGCCGCGUGAGGGAUGACGGCCU
rnacentral:rRNA from 1 species